GGCCGCGGGCUUCUCAUACAAUCUUGCUAGCGCAUGCCCCUUAGAUAAAAGCUCCGGCGGUGUAAAAUGAGCGUGCGUCCUAUUAGCUAGUUGGAGAGGUAAUGGCUCACCAAGGCUACGAUGGGUAGGGGUUCUUAGUGGAAGGUCCCCCACACUGGCACUGAGAUACGGGCCAGACUCCUACGGGAGGCAGCAGUAGGGAAUAUUGGUCAAUGGGCGCAAGCCUGAACCAGCCAUGCCGAGUGCAGGAUGAAGGCUCUCUGAGUUGUAAACUGCUUUUGUACAGGAGCAAAAAAGCCCCUGCGGGGGCUCUUGAGAGUACUGUAAGAAUAAGCACCGGCUAAUUCCGUGCCAGCAGCCGCGGUAAUACGGAAGGUGCAAGCGUUAUCCGGUUUUAUUGGGUUUAAAGGGUGCGUAGGCGGCUUAUUAAGUCAGUUGUGAAAUCCUAGUGCUUAACGCUAGAACUGCGAUUGAUACUAUUAGGCUUGAGUUAAAAAGAGGUAGGCAAAAUUUAUGGUGUAAUAGUGAAAUGCUUUAAAUAU
rnacentral:rRNA from 1 species